AGCUUUAUAGUCAUAUUUAAUGAUAUUAGACUGCAAUUCUAAAGGAGUAGAUAAUCUACUAAGGCUU
rnacentral:tRNA from 1 species